CCUACGGGAGGCAGCAGUGGGGAAUAUUGCGCAAUGGGGGAAACCCUGAUGCAGCAACGCCGCGUGAGUGAAGAAGUAUUUCGGUAUGUAAAGCUCUAUCAGCAGGGAAGAAGAUGACGGUACCUGAUUAAGAAGCCCCGGCUAACUACGUGCCAGCAGCCGCGGUCAUACGUAGGGGGCACGCGUUAUCCGGAUUUACGGGGUGUAAGGGGAGCGGAGACGGCAGUGCAAGUCUGGAGUGAAAGCCGGGGGCCCAACCCCGGAACUGCUCUGGAAACUGGGCGGCUAGAGUGCAGGAGGGGCAGGCCGAAUUCCGAGUGUAGCGGUGAAAUGCGUAGAUAUUAGGAGGAACACCAGUGGCGAAGGCGGCCUGCUGGACAGUAACUGACGUUGAGGCUCGAAAGCGUGGGGAGCAAACAGGAUUAGAUACCCCAGUAGUC
rnacentral:rRNA from 1 species